AAGGAGAAGUCGUAACAAGGUUUCCGUAGGUGAACCUGCGGAAGGAUCAUUGUCGAACCUGCAUUAUGCAAAAAACAACCAACCCCGGCGCAGUGCGGCGCCAAGGAAUAGAAAAUGAAAAGGGAGAGAUUUUCUUUUCGGAAAUGCAUUGCCUUCUUUCAAGAAUCAUAGACGACUCUCGGCAACGGAUAUCUCGGCUCUCGCAUCGAUGAAGAACGUAGCAAAAUGCGAUACGUAGUGUGAGGUGCAGGAUGCCGAGAACCGUGGAGUUUUUGGACGCAAGUUGCGCCCGAAGCCUUUAGGCCGAGGGCACGCCUGCCUGGGCGUCACGCACCGUUGACCCCCCAAACCUCCUCGAGAUGUUUGUGGGGGUGUAAAGUGGCUUCCCGUCGGUCUUUGUCCCGCGGUUGGCCUAAAAUUGAAUCCCUAGCCGCGGUGCGCGCGGCAUUCGGUGGUCAACGAUAGCUUUCGUUACCCCUUCGUGCGCUCCCGCGUUGCAAAGGAUGUCACCGAUGUUACCUGAUGCCUAGCUCUGCGAAGAGCGCAGCUUACAACGCGACCCCUGGUCAGGCGGGGCUACCCGCUGAG
rnacentral:rRNA from 1 species